rnacentral:snRNA from 1 species
GGAUGUAAGGGUGAUCUGGUUGCAGCAUCUGUCACUCCAUUGAUUAUCAGGGUUGAUUUGGCUGACCUGGCUGAUUAGGCAGUGUCUCCUCCCCUUCAUUGCUCCUUUGUGUGUCCUUCCUAAAGCUGCAUGUUUGCGUCAUCAAAUAGAAUAGGUCUUUGGUUAAGAGAAUAUGAGUAGCUAUACCCCCUUGCUUAAAAUUCAGAAAACUCUCUAUAAUAGAUUCAAAUACACAGAAAGUCGAAAACCAGUGGAAUCUCAGGAAUAGAGGGAGAGAAGCAAAAGGAGGAAUUACUAGCAAGUGUAAAACUU